GGCUUUGUAGCUUAGCUAGUAGAGCGCUUGCUGCGUUGAGGCAUGGUGUUUCUGUCGCUAGUUCAAAUCCAGCCGAAGCCC
rnacentral:tRNA from 1 species